rnacentral:rRNA from 1 species
GUGCCAGCCGCCGCGGUAAUACGGGGGGGGCAAGCGUUGUUCGGAAUUACUGGGCGUAAAGGGCGCGUAGGCGGCCUGGGAAGUUCUGGGUGAAAGCCCCCGGCUCAACCGGGGAAGUGCCUGGAAAACCACUGGGCUGGAGUGCUGGAGAGGAAAGCAGAAUUCCUGGUGUAGCGGUGAAAUGCGUAGAGAUCAGGAGGAAUACCUGCGGCGAAGGCGGCUUUCUGGACAGACACUGACGCUGAGGCGCGAAAGCCAGGGGAGCAAACAGGAUUAGAUACCCGCGUAGUCC